CUGCUCCGUGAGUAGGCAGCCGCUGCCGGCCACCCUCAAAGGCCACCAUUCCACGGGGCAGACGGAAUCCAGUGUGAUACCUGUGAUCACGGGCAGCGAGAUGCGCGUCUUCUCAAGUUUUUAAGGAUUCCUCUUCCUAGGCAUGCAUUAAGGAUUUCGACAUUUUACAGUGAAAGUAAAAUGGAAGCCUGCAAUCCUUGUUGCUUUGCCUCUCAAGAUCAUCUCUCUCACUUCCCGGGCAUCGUCACGUGAACUAAAGCACGGAUUUACGUGAGGGAAGAGAAGAGGCAUCGGGGGCCUGCCUCCUGCCCGGCGUCAUGGGGACCCCACGGUGGCAGCUGGUGGGCAGGCUGAUCCCCCAGCUCAUCCUCGGACCUCUCUCAUCUCGCUCAUUUCCUCCGACGCCCCAGGUGGACUUCGAAGAAAAAAGCAGAGAGGAGCAAAAAGAAUAUCAAUUAUUCCAAUAAUGGUCAUGAGCCAUGGAAAUCCGAUUGCCUUUGCGAUAGCCCCACCAGCAGAAGGACCUUUCAGGAAACAGAGAAUUAGACUGACCUCUCUCCAGAUGUCUCACAGAUAGGAAGGCUGGGACAGGAAGCAUAAAGAGCAUGUGUGCUGAGUCCUAGGUUCAAGUCCCUGGCGGGGUGAGCACGGCCAUUCUUCUCUCUCCAAACACUGGCUUCCCCAUCCAUAAAAUGGUGCAGAUAAUGAUCGGCUGAAAGGAGACUGUAUCAUCCGUGGACCCCUCCAGCAGGGUACUCCAAAGUUAGCUCCCUCACCCCCACCAAGGACUAGCGGCAAGAAGAGGAGGGAAGUUUCUUUCAUUCAAUGAGUAUUCCUUGAUCCCCUAACAUGUGGAGGGUGCUGGGGCCAUGGGGUGAACAAAAUGGACAGAAGGGGCGGACGGGCCGCAAAGAGCUGAAAUACGAAUCACAGUUGUCACACACAUCAUGAGGUGCUGUGUGAGGACAAACCUAACCCAGCCUGGGGAGUCUGCAGAGGCUCCCUUCUCUCUUUCCACAGUACCAAAGAUUCAAUUCUCGCCUUUAGCCUGUGAUAGAUUUAGCAUUUACUUUUAUUAGGUG